CGCUGGCGGCGUGCCUAACACAUGCAAGUCGAACGAUCCCGCAAGGGAGAGUGGCGGAAGGGUGAGUAACACGUGGGAAUCUACCUCCUCGCAGGGAACAACCUCUCGAAAGAGAGGCUAAUACCCAAAGGGUCAGAAAUGAUCAGAGUCGAAAGGCGUGAGGAGAGGAGCCCGCGGCCCAUCAGCUAGUUGGUGAGGUAAUGGCUUACCAAGGCUACGACGGGUAGGGGAUCUGAGAGGAUGUCCCCCACACUGGAACUGAAACACGGUCCAGACGCCUACGGGUGGCAGCAGUGAGGAAUAUUGGACAAUGGGCGAAAGCCCGAUCCAGCAACGCCGCGUGGAGGAUGAAGGCCUUCGGGUCGUAAACUUCUUUAGAGGGAGACGAGAAAGGACGGUAUCCCUAGAAUAAGCGACGGCAAACUACGUG
rnacentral:rRNA from 1 species